rnacentral:lncRNA from 1 species
GAGAAGGGAGGAGUUAUUCAGGCCUCCGCCAGCUUCUAGGCCCUGGGGAUGGUCUUUCACCUCCCUCUUUCUGAUCUCUUUUUCAUGCUCCUCCUUGCUCCAAAGAAAAGCCGGAUGGCAAAAGAGCCCAGAACCUAUUGGAACUGACAAAAUCAAGUCACGGCGCCUACAAAGAUGAGGGGCAGAUUCUGGCUGCCUUUUAAUUUCGUCCUUCACCUGAUAUCUGUGCCAGAGAAUGUCUUCCAGGAGUUCUGCUACAGAGAAGAGAGUAACCCCCAUCCAUCAUGGCCAAAGCACCCAGUCAGGCUCCGCUCUGGAUCCAGCCCGACAAAUGCAACCCUUGAAUAGGGUUUGUGCAAGCAAACUGGAUGACGACCGAAGAAACCCUGUCGCUUCUGAGAAGACACCCAAUCCAAGAAUGAAAGCAUCAGGUUCAAUACCUAGGAACUCCUGUAGAGGGUGUUGUGGAAUCUUCUUUAAAAGAACAAAACAAGGCAAAACAAAGUUUAAUAGGGUAGAGCAGCCAGGUGUGGUGGGUCAUGCCUGUAAUCUCAGCAAUUUGGGAGGCCAAGGCAGGAUCUCAGCAAUUUGGGAGGCGAAGGCAGGCAGAUCACUUGAGCCUAGGAGUUCAAGACCAGCUUGGGCAACAUAGCAAGACCCUGCCUAUACCAAAAAAAAAAAGUGAACCUAGGAGUAUGAGGCUGCAGUAAGCUGUGGUUGUACCAGUGCACUUUGGGAGGCCAAGGUAGGCGGGUCUUCUGAGAUCGAGAGUUUGAGACCAGCCUGACCAACAUGGAGAAACCCCGUCUCUACUAAAAGUACAAAAUUAGCCGGCAUGGUGGUGCAUGCCUGUAAUCCCAGCUACUCGGGAGGCUGAGGCGGGAGAAUUGCUUGAACUCAGGAGGCAGAGGUUGUGGUGAGCCAAGAUCGCGCCAUUGCACUCCAGCCUGGACAACAAGAGCGAAACUCCAUCACAAACAAACAAACAAUAAACAAAAACCAUAGAGUGAUUUCUGGCCAACAGAGCAAGAAAGAAGUGAACCAAUGAAAACCGGUCCAAGUCUGGGAGUCAAUAUGGAAAAGCUGCCUAAUUAAUGUGGAAGCCCCAGGGAAAUGAUAUACCAUGAAAACCUAACACUACAAAAACUAGUUGUCAGACACAUGUGAGCAGUGAACAGAAUCCUAAUAUGCUGGUUUAACAUUCAAAACUGGAGAGUGUUUGUGUAUCUUCUAAAGACUGUUUGGGGUUUAUUUGUGGAGUUCAGCUGAGUGUCAUCAGAACAAAGAUUAGUGCAAAAAAUCUUUCAGAAAUCAUGCCCAAACAUUUGCAUGCACCUUAAAUAAGAAAUGAAAUAGCAAGAAGAGUAUGUCACAAUAAAGUAUAAAUAGCAAGUGAUAUGUCUCAUCGUACUGAGACAGUUUUAUAAAUGAGGCAAAGGCCUUGUCAAAAAAUAAUGAUGAUUUUCAAAAUUCUGAAACGCAAAGGAGGAAAACUACUUCAUUCAGUUAACAGGAAGCACACAAGAAUCUCCCCAUCAACCAAGAUUUUUUUUUUCUAUAACCCACGCUUUGUAAGACAAUAAUAGCAAAAACUAUAAACUAGAAUUUGUUGAAAGAACAACUUCUAGAAUUUGCCCUUUAUGUGCUGUUUUACCAUUGUCAUGUCUGUCUCUGGUAUGACUUCCUCAUCUAUUAGUAGCCUCCUAAUAAAUUUGAACAAAUGAAUGAAUGAAUAAGAGACAACUAAGCAUGAGGUAUUGCAAGAUGGUAACUCAUCCAGGGAAAAUUAAAACCUGGAGUGGAUCAGAUGGAAAAACAAAAUAAGACACUAGAAAAAAAUCACCAGGAGGGUUUCAAACCAAAAGAUCCCCUGGUUAACCUUCAGCUAAUUAUAAGAUUUAAUUAACUAGAAAAACUCAAUCCUUGUUUAUUCUAUUUAAUUGAGAUUUUACCAUAUUUAAAAUGAUGUUACUCAAGUGUUCUCAUUAAUAUUUAAUGAAAGUGUGAGAGAAUUGGCUAACCAAAUUUACUGUGCUUAGGUAAACUGUAAUUAGGAAGGGUUAGCAGAGCAUCCCAAGGGACCUAUCAAUCACAAAAUGAAGCGAUACAAUUACAGAUGAAUUUCAACAAGGAAACACACAAAACAGUGAUCCUCAAAAAAGAUGGAAUAAAAUUACUUGAAUGUGGUAGUCGGUUCUGAGAAAUGCAAUCAAUCACAUGUCAUUUCAGACAACUCAGAAGGAAUAACCCUACCCAACAGACUUGAACUCUUUGUGUGUGUGUGUGUGUGUGUGUCUGUGUGUGUGAUAGAAUUUCACUCUUGUCGCCCAGGCUGGAGUGCAGUGCGAUCUCGGCUCACUGCAACCUCUGCCUCCCAGGUUCAAGCAAUUCUUCUGCCUCACCCUCCCUAGUAGCUGAGAUUAUAGGUGCCCACCACCACACCCGGCUAAUUUUGUAUUUUUAGUAGAGAAGGGGUUUCACCAUGUUGGCCAGGCUGGUCUCGAACUCCUGACCUCAGGUGAUCUUCCCACCUGGGCCUCCCAAAGUGCUGGGAUUACAGGCAUGAGCCACUGCACCUGGCCCAGACUUGAACUCUUGAUUGCAUGAAAGUGUAUUAAUCUUCUAUCUGCUUAUUCCCAAUUUCCCAGCUGAUAAAAUGCCCCACUGUUAUUUCACUUAAAUUUGGAAUAACCUGCAUCUAGUUAAGUUGGAGCUACUUUGUCUUGUUGCAGAUUUUCUUUUGCUUUGCUGUCUUCAUUCUAACUUGGCAGAGCCCAGGUGCUUUGUCUCUAUUUGCCUGCAAGACCUCUUUUCCAAGACAUGUCAGGUUUCUCUCUAAAGUACCUUCCACCUGGAGGAUAUCUGUUCUUGUUCUUUAAUUCCUGGCCCUAUUUCCUAUUCAUCUGAAAAACUAGGCUUUGUGAGCAGGAUCAUGCAUGGCAAUGAGUUCUAAUGAGUUUUUAAUGUUUCACACUUCAUGAUGAACAUAUAUUUGCAUUUCAGAAAAUGCUUUUAAGGAAUGUUUUUUUUUUUCUGCCCUCACUCCUAACUCAGUUGCCUUUAAGCAAAACCAAAGAGAGCCAUGGCCAGCCUGUUCAAAUGGCUGCAAUCAUUUAAGCCCCUCUCGCUGCACCCUGGCCCCUCUUGCCUCCCUAGCCUGCCCAUGCUUGCCCCUGUCUCAACUUCUACCCCCACUCCAGCUGAAGAGAUUUGCCAUUCUCAGCUUUCACCUUUGGGGAUCCCUCUUGACCAUGGUUAGCAAUUGCUGUGACCAUCCUCACAUCACAGAUUUUUGGGCUUCUGUUUCUUAGGACAAUGCCUGCUCUCCCUGCUAGCCUAUCCCUCAUCCCAGGCCCUCCAACCUCCAGCCACUGCAACUCUAGAGCCACAUCCUAUCCCAUUGACUAACCCAACUGCCAAGCCAAGCCCAAUCCCCAGACCUGGAGCUCAGAGAAAUUAUUAAUCCAAUCAAAGGCACUAAAGUUGGGAUUCUGACUCUGAAGCAGGUACCAAAUUUUGGACAGAGAGGGGCUCCUGAAACCAUACUAUUCCUGCAUUAAGUGUCUGGCACUAGGCAGGGGAUAUGAUGUGAUCUAACAAGGCCAUGCACUGGAAUUAACCUGCGUGAGCUCCACUUGGCUGCCCUCUAAAGGUCAAUGCAUUGUUUGAGCCUAGGGGAGCCAGUCACUGCUACAUCAAUGGCUGCAUCACGGUAUCCUUUUUAGGACUAAACCUGCAUUUUCCUAAUAUUCAGGUCUGUAGAAACUUUGACUGCAAGAAUUUUACAGGAAUGGGUAAAUAUCUGUAAGUACUUAAAAGUAUAUAUGGUAAUAUAC